AUUGAACGCUGGCGGAAUGCUUUACACAUGCAAGUCGAACGGCAGCACGGACUUCGGUCUGGUGGCGAGUGGCGAACGGGUGAGUAAUGUAUCAGAACGUGCCCAGUCGUGGGGGAUAACGUAGUGAAAAUUACGCUAAUACCGCAUACGAUCUAUGGAUGAAAGCGGGGGAUCGCAAGACCUCGCGCGAUUGGAGCGGCCGAUAUCAGAUUAGGUAGUUGGUGGGGUAAAGGCCCACCAAGCCAACGAUCUGCAGCUGGUCUGAGAGGACGACCAGCCACACUGGAACUGAGACACGGUCCAGACUCCUACGGGAGGCAGCAGUGGGGAAUUUUGGACAAUGGGCGAAAGCCUGAUCCAGCCAUUCCGCGUGCAGGAUGAAGGCCCUCGGGAUGUAAACUGCUUUUGUACAGAACGAAAAGGUUUCUACUAAUACUAGGAGCUCAUGGCGGUACUGUAAGAAUAAGCACCGGCUAACUACGUGCCAGCCGCCGCCGUAA
rnacentral:rRNA from 1 species